UUCCAAGCUUCUAAGAAGACAGGGCCAAUU
rnacentral:sRNA from 1 species